AUACUUACUUAGCGUAGGGAUACCGUGAUCAUGCAGGCGGUACCCCCAGGGUGAGGCUGCUCCAAUUCACUGCGGAGUGAUUGGUCCUGGCGAUUAUUCUUAAUUUUAUAAAUUUUACUUCGACCGUGUGUGACAUGUCUCUUUCACACA
rnacentral:snRNA from 9 species